rnacentral:rRNA from 1 species
UACGUAGGUGGCAAGCGUUGUCCGGAAUUAUUGGGCGUAAAGGGCUCGCAGGCGGUCUUCUAAGUCUGAUGUGAAAUCUUGCGGCUUAACCGCAAGCGGUCAUUGGAAACUGGAGGACUUGAGUACAGAAGAGGAGAGUGGAAUUCCACGUGUAGCGGUGAAAUGCGUAGAGAUGUGGAGGAACACCAGUGGCGAAGGCGGGUCUCUGGGCCGAUACUGACGCUGGAGGAGCGAAAGCGUGGGGAGCGAACAGG